rnacentral:rRNA from 1 species
UCUUCUUGAAUUUAUUGGAAGUCGGGCCUGUCCACUGAAUAAUUUUGAAGGGCCGCGGUAUUUUGACCGUGCAAAGGUAGCAUAAUCAUUAGUCUUUUAAUUGGAGGCUGGAAUGAAUGGUUUGACGAAAUAAUUACUGUCUCAAUAUAAUUUAGUUGAAAUUUACUUUUGAGUUAAAAGGCUUAAAUGUUAAUAAGGGACGAGAAGACCCUAUAGAUCUUUAUAUUAUGAAUUAUAUUAUUAAUUUUAGGUGUUAGAUAGAUAAUAUAUGAUUUAUAGUAUUUUAUUGGGGUGAUAUGAGAAUAUGAAAACUUCUUAAUUUUUAACUUUGAUAGAGGGGUUAAUGAUCCUUUAAUAUGGAAUUAAGAUUAAGAUACCUUAGGGAUAACAGCGUAAUCUUGUUGGAGAGUUCUUAUUGAUAAUAAGGAUUGCGACCUCGAUGUUGGAUUAAGAAUAUAAUUUGGUGUAGAUGCUGAAAUAUUAUUGGUCUGUUC